rnacentral:rRNA from 1 species
AGUCUGGUGCCAGCAGCCGCGGUAAUUCCAGCUCCAAUAGUGUAUAUUAUUGUUGCUGUAGUUAAAAAGCUCGUAGUUGGAUUUCGAAAUGCGACUGUCCAAGCCCGUCCAAGUGGCGUGGCUCGACUGGUUGCUUUCUGUCUUUGGGUAAUGGGCGUAGCUUCGGUUGCGUUUUCCGUUCCCAAUUGUUUACUUUGAAAAAAUUAGCGCGUUCAAAGCAGGUGUAACUUUGCCUUGAAUAGUUUAGCAUGGGAUAAUAGAAUAGGACCACCGGCCUUAUUUUAUUGGUUUCUAAAGCUGGGGUAAUGAUUAAUAGGGACAGUUGGGGUCGGUCGUAUUGAGUCGUCAGAGGUGAAAUUCUAUGAUUGACUCAAGACGAACUGGUGCGAAAGCGUCCGACAAGGAUGUUUCCGUUAAUCAUGAACGAAAGUUGGGGGAUCGAAGAUGAUCAGAUACCGUCGUAGUCCUAACCAUAAACUAUGUGGACCAAGGAUCCGAGGAUGUUCCAUGGAUGGCUCUCCGGGCACUUUGUGAGAAAUCAGAGUAUUUGCAUUCCGGGGGGAGUAUGGCCGCAAGACUGAAACUUAAAGGAAUUGACGGAAGGGCACCACCAGGAGUGGAAUCUGCGGCUUAAUUUGACACAACACGGGGAAACUCACCAGGUCCGGACACAGUAAGGAUUGACAUUGAGAGCUCUUUCUUGAUUCUGUGGGUGGUGGUGCAUGGCCGUUUUUAGUUGGUGGAUUGAUUUGUCUUGUUAAUUCGGAUAACGAGCGAGACCUCAUCCUGCUAAUUAGUGAUGUGAAUUUGGUUCCUCGCAAGGGGUUCCUAUCUGAUUCGUCUACUUCUUAGAGGGACUCUCGGCACCUUUAGCCGAUGGAAGUUUGAGGCAAAAACAGGUCUGUGAUGCCCUUAGAUGUCCUGGGCUGCACGCGCGUUACACUGGCUAUUGCAACGAGUGAUUUCCUGCCUCGAAGGGGGUGGGUAAACUUUUCAACGAUAGCCGUGAUUGGGAUUGAACCUUGCAAUUAUUGUUCAUGAACGAGGAAUUCCUAGUAAGCGCAGUUCAUCAAACUGCGCUGAUUACGUCCCUGCCCUUUGUACACACCGCCCGUCGCUUGUACCGAUUGAAUGAUCCGGUGAGGACCUGGGACUGUUAGUAUCUUAUCUUCUCGCAAGGGAAGGUCUGGCUGAUGGAAGCUAGUUCAAAUCAUAUCAUUUAGAGGAACAAGAAGU